AAUGAACGUUGGCGGCGUGGAUUAGGCAUGCAAGUCGAGCGCGAUCCUGUUAUUUGAAGCUUCGGUGGAUUUGAUCAGGGGAAAGCGGCGAAAGGGAGAGUAAUGCAUAGAUUAUCUGCCCUCAGGUUUGGGAUAGCUACGGGAAACUGUAGGUAAUACCGAAUAAUAUCUCCGGAUCAAAGGUGAUUCUGCCUGAGGAUGAGUCUAUGUCCUAUUAGCUAGUUGGUAAGGUAACGGCUUACCAAGGCAACGAUGGGUACCGGGUGUGAGAGCAUGGCCCGGCUCACUGGGACUGAGACACUGCCCAGACACCUACGGGUGGCUGCAGUCGAGAAUCUUCGGCAAUGGACGAAAGUCUGACCGAGCGACGCCGCGUGCGGGAUGAAGGCCCUCGGGUUGUAAACCGCUGUCAGUUGUUAGGAAAUCCAUAGGGGUUCUCUCCUAUGGUUGACCGAUCUUCAGAGGAAGGACGGGCUAAGUUCGUG
rnacentral:rRNA from 1 species